ensembl:snRNA U6 U6 spliceosomal RNA
GUGCUCACUUUGGCAGCACGUAUACUAAAAUUGGAAAGAUACAGAGAAGAUUGGAAUGGCCCCCACACAAGGAUGACAUGCAAAUUCGUGAAGUGUUCCAUAUUUUA